rnacentral:misc_RNA from 1 species
AACUUCUUCCAUCAAUUCGUAGUCCUCAUCUUUAAUCCCUCCUAAUUUCCUCUUCAAUAUGGCUUCAACUAUUGAAGGAAUCGCCUCUUCAUCCCCCUCGCAGUACUUCUCUAUCCGCCUCUUUAGCUCUGCAACCAUAUCACAUCACACAAAUUUUAACUCCACCAUGUUGCUUCUGGGUCCGAGUGAAAUUUUCUUUAUGAGAUAAAUCAGAAUCAGAAGAGUAGAAUCUGAGUGUAGAAAGAGUCCAAGAAACAAAUAUAGAUGAUGAUGAGAUAGGAUUUGUUAUGGAUUUUAGAGGAUCGAGAAGAUGGUUGGGAAUAUGUAGUGAGACAUUUCUGAGAACAGCUC